UCUCUGUCUGUCUCUCAGGUCCAUUCAUCGUCUACAUGUUGAGAGACAUUGAUAUCCUGGAAGACUGGGCAGCUAUCAAGAAGGCUAAAGCAGCACUGACGCCGCUAAAGAAAAAAACAGACAAGCGGUGAUAACAGAGGAGUGUGUCGCAGACGUCUAGACGAACCAAAAUCUCUGAGCUGCAGAAGAGAACCCACAACAACAGAACAGCCUUGAACACAGCCCAGUCUGAGGCUAUUAGCUAAUGCAAAGCACUUCAGUAGGGUCCUGUUCAGUAGGACACACUGGAACAAAACAUUCUGCAACAGAACAUGAAAAUCGCUCUUCUAAUUGGACAAGUUCAGGUGGUAUACCUCCCUUAUUCACUCUGUUUCAAACUGUUUUGUCUCUACUGAACAUUACCCAGGGAAAGAAGAAACAGCAAGUUACCAUUUAACAAGAUCUGAGUCAGCUAACACAUCUUACGACAGGUCUACCACAGGUCUAUGUCUGCCUGGAUACCAAAACACUUUCCUGCUUCUUUUCUAAGAAUUUGCACUUCAGAAAAAAAGACCCCACAUUCUCUCUCUGGUCAAAUAUUUAUUUUUUGUUACAAACAGAAAGAAAGAAUGAAAUCUAAAUACUACUAGUGUUUCCCUUAAGAUUAUUUCCCAGGAAGAAUGUGGAAAAAAAGGCCCCUGAAUCAACAUUUAAGGUCUCUUUAACCAAAAUGAAAGGCCCCCGCCUAUACAGUAGGCUACAAUGGUAGGGAAAACACUGCAAUACAAACCACUGUACUUAAACUAACUACUUACUACUGUCAUUUAAAUACUGUUUCUAUGACAACGACAGUCUACUGCCAUCUAAAGGCGGUUAUUUUAUUUAAGAUGUUUUUAUAACGUCCAUGUAUUUAUAACAAUUUAAUAAGAAUAAUGAUUAAAUCUUUUAAUGAGA